UUCGGUUCUGGGAUGGGCGACACAUCUUCCCGAUUCUUGAAGGAUUGGGAACUGGCGCGGGAGAAGUUUUGCCGGUGUUCGACCGCUACCUGAUC
rnacentral:tRNA from 1 species